rnacentral:misc_RNA from 1 species
AAUAUAAUUUUUUUUAUUAUAAUCUCCUUUGUUUUUUCUUAUUUUUUUAUUAGCUACCCUUCCUCGUUCCAUUCAAAUACAGCCCAAGUUGGGGAUUAGCGACAUCACAACCCUCUUCAUCCCCUCCUCCCCCUCUUCGUCCCCUCCUCCCCCUACCAAAUCUUCUGCCUCUUCUAAUGCAAGUGCUUGGAUUAAAUCUUCCACAACUUUUUGUUGAAGUGCUCUGGUGACAUAUUUAUCUUCUCGUCCAUCUAGACCUUCAUCUUCCCUUUCCAAAUUUUCCGCAUAAUCUCCUAAAGCCUUCCAUGCAAUGUCACCACCCUCAGCUUCUACUCCCCCAUCUGCAAGUGGGUCCCCUCUAGUUUGUCUCUAACGAUUCCACCGCCAUUGUUUUCUACUCCGACUACAAACCCAGUGACCACUUCAACUUCGAUUUCAGUCGCUAACUCACCAGUGUAGAAGCCUUCGGCUACUACAGUGACCUAGGCAUUAGUGAGUAUCCAAUUUGACAACACUAGUAGAGGCCCUAAUGGUUUUUCCCUCUAUUAGUAGCAUACCGAACUCCAGUCCAGUGAGUUUGUCACCAAAAACUACAAAAAGUCAGAUGAAUGAUGAAUCGAGUUUUAAGUCCAUAAAUGAGAUUCGAGUUGUUUUUAGCAGGUUAUUGCGUAUUAUGGCUUCCUCCACUGCCACGCCACCACUACUUCCCACUAUCAUGGGCUUAUCUGGGUUUGUUGUGAACAUGUUCUUUCCUUGUAAAUCGGAAUGCUCAUUAGAUUUAGAUUUUUUUGAGAUUUAGCUAGAAUGUGAUUAUAAUUUUGUUUUGUGAAAUGUAACUUUUGUAUUGCACUGAUUUAUGAUUUUGCAAUUUG